GACGAACGCUGGCGGCGUGCUUAACACAUGCAAGUCGAACGGAAAGGCCCUGCUUUUGUGGGGUUCUCGAGUGGCGAACGGGUGAGUAACACGUGAGUAACCUGCCCUUGACUUUGGUGUAACUUCAGGAAACUGGGGCUAAUACCGGAUAGCAGCUCCUGCUGCAUGGUGGGGGUUGGAAAGUUUCGGCGGUUGGGGAUGGACUGGCGGGUUAUCAGCUUGUUGGUGGGGUAGUGGCUUACCAAGGGUUUGACGGGUAGCCGGCAUGGGAGGGUGACCGGCGACAUUGGGACUAAGAGAGGGCCCAGACGCCAACGGGGGGCAGCAGGGGGGAAUAUGGCACAAUGGGAGGAAGCCUGAUGAAGAAGCGCCGCGUGCGGGAUGACGGCCUUCGGGUUGUAAACAGCUGUCGCCUGAGACGAAGCGGGAGUGACGGUAAUGGGUAAAGAAGCACCGGCUAACUACGUG
rnacentral:rRNA from 1 species